CGGGGCCGGGGCCGGUGCCCGGGAAUGAAGCCGGUGUUGGGGCCGGGGCCGGGGCUGUCAUUUUGUGGUCCCUAAACGAGGGCGGCGAUAACGGCCUGAGAGCCCAGCUUGGCUCUGGGGAGCCGCGAGCGGCCGAGGGAGGCCGCGACAACUGGGUCGGUCUGGGCUCUGGGCCGCGCUGGGAGCCCUCAGCCAUGGCCGGGGAUAGGGCAGAGUCCCGCUGGGCACCCAGAGCCCCGCUGGGAGCCCUCAGCCAUGGCCGGGGACAGGGCAGGGCCCCGCUGGGCACCCAGAGCCCCGCUGGGAGCCCUCAGCUGUGUCCGGCCCUGCCGGGAGCCCUCAGCCCCUCACAGCCACGGCCGGUCCCGCGGGGAGAAGCCGCUCCCACGAGAGGGUUGUUGUGCAAGGAAGUGGCCGCUCUGAGUGACCGAUGUACCUCUCUUGGGCCAUUUUUACCUUUCUCUUGGCCACGUCUGAAGCCGGGCGGGUGGGCAGGGGUGGCCCCAUCACUGCUGUGCCCACCGCACCUGCUGGGAAGGUGUUUUGCUGCUUGAAUCACACCCGCCUCCCGCAGCCACCACAGCCCGAGAGCUGCCAUUUUCAUGGUGUUUUGGGGAGGACACGAACUUGUCCCAGUUCCUCUCCAGUAUCGACACACCUCGAAGUUCAAAGGCUGCGUUCAAGUGAUGCUGAACCACGGCUGCAAAGCUUCUGCUGCUUCAGCCAGUCCAGGGGAGCAGAGAGGCCACAAGUACUCAAGUCUUCAGUACAAUUGCUGUGGGGCCCUCAAGGAACUCGAACAGGCUGGAGCAAACCCUGUGCCCUUGGAGAAAAUUGUUUCCCCUUUUCCUCCAGGGAAUCCAGAGCCUGAGCAGCAGCUGUGAGGAGUGGAGAGAAAGAAAGAAGUGGGAGAUGCUGGAAGUGCUUUGGGCGACGUGAGAAGGAGGAUUUGCCCGGAAGGAGCUGUUCAAGGGCCCAGCAGCAAACCAGAGACACAAAACCUGCUUAUAUAUAGAAGAAUGUAACCCCUGUGUAUGCAGACGUGGACGCGUGCAUGCCUUGUCGAGAGCGUAAGCGACAUUCCCUGUAGAUCGCUGCUGUGAGCAGCCCUGCUCCUGCAGGCCGAGCCUUGGCACUGCUGCUGGCCCUGCUGGACACCACCCACUGCCCCAUUUAUGCAGCAGGAUGAGGAGGAAUCUCUACACCCACAUUAGUAAUCCUGAGAAUUCCAGUCGUGCUGCAGCGCGGGCACGGCCCAGGCGUGGCGGGGAGCGGGUGCGGAGCGGCUCGGACAGCAGUUUGUGUGUGUAAAUAUUCAUGCUCUGGCACCAGGGGAGAGCAGCUUUCCUAUGACUUUAGUUUCUCUGGUGCUACAUUUAAUAUUUGUCUGGGGCUAAACUGCCUCUCUGUGGUGCUACAGUUUCCCCAAGAGGAUGUUCUGAAACGUGGGACAAGGAAAGAUCUAUUUUGGUUAUUGAUAUUUAUACGCAAGAUAGCAAAAAAUAAGACUUGUUGAGAAGGUGCUAUUUUUUUUUUCUUUCUUUUAAUCUCUGCAGAAACUAAGACAAAACAAAUAAUCUACCCCAGAACUUUAUAAAACUCCUUUUCUUUGGAGCAGUUCUUUUUCUUUUGACAGUGUGGAGCUUGGGAAGCAGCAGGCACUGAGGUGGAAAGGACACAGGGCCCUUUCCACUGCAGUGUGCACGUGGAAGUCUGCUAGAGCAGCACUUCCUACAGCUCCAGAGCUGGGAAUUCUCCUGCAUGGUGAUUUAUUCAGUCCCAAAUCCCAUGAACCGGGGAAGAGAACUCUUCUCCAGACUGAUCACUAGAGCAGGGGAUAACAGGAGAACUUGGCCUUAGAAGUCAAAGGGCUUUUUUCAGUCUGGUACUGAGCACUUUUUUCCUUGCAGCCAAAACUACCUGUCAGAUUUCGGGUACCUUCCACAUACAGCAACCUGUGCACAGUUUUUUAGAAACAUUUUUCCUACCUUCAGAUAUUUGCACCAGAAAACUGACCCUGCCAUGGCAGGGAGGGCAUUUUCAAAGGCAUAAAGGAACGUUAGGACCCGAUUUCUAAAGGAAAUUUGGCUCCUUGUCUUUUAAAAAUACUUCCAUCCCUUGCCCAGCCCAGGAAGAAGCCAAGUGGCCACUGUGUCCAGUCAGACCCUGCAUUUUCCACUGCUGCAGGAGAAAUGUUUCUAAGUAAUCUGAAAGCUGAAUUCUCCCUUUAUCAAAUAUUCACCGCAGCGUUUUGAGCCCCUGCACGCAUUUUCCUGGCUGUUAUUGAUCCAAGUCCAUUCCCAAACAGCAGCAAGGGCUCUGCUGGAAGAGCAGAUUGUUCCUAGAGAAGAACCUUGCCCUGCCUUAGGUGAUGUGCAGUGUUGGGAGGUGUAGCUCUGUGUAGUUUGUCUGUCCAUUCCCUUUGGAUGGUCCCAGAGCCACAGGGACCAGUGAAACAUUUUCCUGCCAUUUUUGGCCUGAUGCUCAGUGAUCCUCAGCAUCCUGAACCCCUUCCCUGCUCAGAAGGGGUUUCUCCUACAGAAACAAGGACAAAUUCUUCUAACAAAAGGAGGAGCCUCAGCUGAUUCCAGCAGUGCUGCCAGUGCUGGGCAGAGCCUUAAAAAUACCAGUUUCUGGAAAUCCCUGGAAUGUGGGAGUGAGACUGUGCAGAUGGAAUCGCACAAGUCGCACUUGAACAGGAACCAUGGAUGUGACACUUGGCUGUAGGGGACACCCCUGCAGCUGGGUCACAUCCCUCAGAGCUCUCCCACAGGUUCCUCACCCCUACCAGCUCUGAAUGUAAUAAACUGCUCACCUGGAACAGGCAUUAUUCCAUUUCCCUGUGCACACAGCUGGCACUGCCCUUGGCUCUCCUGCUGCCCUGGCUGUUGGGGGCUGCAGCCUCCAGGCUGCUCCCGGUGUUUCAAUUCCCUUGGAACAGCACAGCCAAGGAAAAGGAAAGGAAGUUCUGUCCUCCCCACCUCGGGAGAGCCCCCAAAUCUGUGAUCAGCCCCAGUGCAGGGAUUGGCUGAUCUCCCUCAGUCCCAGCCCUCUGUGGACAGGCUUGUCUGUAAAUAUUCCCAAACCUCAGAGUUCCCAGGGGAUUGCUGUCCCCGGGGGCUCCAAACAGUCAGCAAAAAAUGUUGAAAGACUUGUCCUGCCCAGCAUGGAACAGCCACAUCCAUGGUGCUUCCCAAGUGGGAACAGGUCUGGUACCCCAAAUCCUGCAUUGUUCCUGGUUUGCUUCACUUUUGUAGUUCCAAACUGGAUGUUUCGCAUGAGCCCAGGGUGAAGUUUUGGAGUUUUGUAGCCAGAAUUCCCUGUACAGAACUGGAAUUCCUUAUUUGAGGGUGCAGAUUUGUCAAAGCCUUACAUUUUGUGGUGUAAUUGCUAUCCUUGAACGCCUCCAUUUUUUGACAAGGAGUGUUUUUAUCCUUUCUACAAGAUCUGCUUUGCCCCUGGUUGGUGUUUGCAUGGAAAGGGAAGGGUGCUGUCAACUCCCUGGAAAUUCCCUGUCCCCUCCUGUGGGCAGGAAACCGGCACAGUUCCCCUCUGGCCCUUUUGUUUUCUCACAGCAGCCGAGCAAUCCCUGGGUUGGGUCAGCUGGGAAGGCCAGGGAGGGCUCUCCAGAUGGAGGAACAGAGCCCUCUCGGGUUUCAGCAGCGAGCAGAGCGCAGUUAUGAGCUCAUGGUCUGUGCAGAGCACGGCUGGGAGGGAGCUCUGCAUGAAUUUUUAAAGCGCUUCUCUGCCAAGACAGCUCCCAGCACAACCUGGAAUUCCGUAUUCCAAGGUGAAAGAGCAGCCUGGUGUGGGCUGCUGCACCUGCCACUGCUGGGUUACACCAGGGCAGGGCUUGGCCCGUGAGUUCCACAUUCCUUCCUCUUCUCCCGCAGGUGGAAUGGGAGCAGGACUCUGUCACAGCUUGGUGUGCCCAGGCAAACAGCAAAUCACCCAAAGCAGGGAGCUGGCAGUGGGGAGGGGGAGAACCCCAUCCCACUCCUGCUUCAGAGCAGAGGGAGGCAGCAGUUCCUCUUUGAGCCAAGCCCAUUGCUAAAGCAAUUCCCUUAAAUCCCAAACACUUCUUGAAUCAAUUUCAUCUGAUUGGUGAGUUUGUUUUGUUUCUGUAUCACAGUAAAAGUUAGAAAGGUCUCUUAAACCCUCAGCAUGAGCAGAAGCGGUUCCUGCUGUUGAAAUCCAUGACAAACUGAACUGGUUAAACUGGUGCAGUGUCUGUCCACAGCCUGGAAUGAGGCAUUCCCAGCUGGAAAACUGAGCUGCCCUGUGAAAAAUGGCCCCAGUGAGGACAGAAUAGCACAUAAUAUUCAGUUUUCCUACACAACAUCUGUCCCUGAUCUCGGCAGGAGCCUGGUGUGUAUAGAACAGGCUACCUGAGGCUCCACUCCGGAUCCUGGGCACACACUGUCCGUGUCCAACCCUCCUGGCUGUAUCCCAGCUCCCCAGCACAUGCACAACUUCACUUGGAGACAGUUUGCCCCCAGAAAAUUUGAUUUUCAGUCCAGGCUUCAAACUCAGCCUCAUUCUUGUGUAACUUUGCUGAGUGUGAGCUGAGCUUUCCAUCUCAUCCCAGCAGGUGAGGAGACUCCGGCCAUGCCAAUUCCAGAUCCAGGGAAUUGUAAACACCAUGGGAAUUGGGCUUCCCUAGGACCAGCCAGUCUGAGAGGGGAGGGAUCCUCACCUGCUGCUCCUGCCUUGGGUUUCUACACCACAAAAUCCAGACAAAAUUGUAACUUUUCCAUUACAAUAUUUAUUUGAGUACAGGAGCGAAUUUUGAUGUGACUUCAGUGUCCAUUCUGGGGGAAUUACUGAAGUGCUUGAAUUUCCCAAAGUUUUUAAUAUUUACAGAAAGUGACUUUGGAUCUUGAUAAACAUUCACUGAAAACAUCUGAGGAUUAAAUGGCCGUUAUAAGUUCCACCAUUAUUAAUUAGCCACACCUUUAUUAGUUACUCCAUCAGGAGUCAGAGGUGGCACCAAGCAGAGCAAACCCAGCUGCAGUGGGAUUUAAUUCCCUGGGUUUUUACAGCAUCCCUUUUCCAGCCAUUCACCAGAGUUUAUCACAAAACCCUCCCGUCCUCGUGAGUCCUGAGGCCGCUGUGAAUUCCCCAGUGUGUCCCAGGGGCUUUGCCAAGGGAAUGACAGGCAGGGAAUGCCCAAUUCCUGGCGUUUUGCUGGUUACCAUUGGGAUGGAACUCCAGCAGGGUCACUGUGCAGGUUUCCCCCUACCCAAAGCAAGGGCAGGGCCUGUGCUCCGAGUUCCUGGAGCUCCAGGAGGCUCCUGGUCCUGGCUGGAUGGGGCUUCUCUCUUUUGUAAAAGGAAUUUCAUAUGCUGAGACUCUUUGUACAUAUUUAUAAGGAAUUUA